ACCCUUUCAUGCAGAGGUCACUACAGUGGACGGCUGUCUAAAAGCCAUUUUCUUGUGCUUCUUGUGGAUUUUUAUGUUAUAAAUGCACACAGACCACUGAAGUGGACACUAACGCACCA